GGUAAUGAAUUUACAGCGCACUUGAACUGGUUCAAGUUCACAUGUUCACCAUUGUUGCUGCGCAUUUGCUUUAGUAUUUCGAGUGCAACGCAUAACUGAAUACAAAGAAGACAUAAAGAGAGCAAAAGUGUGGGUGAGAUAUACAUACAUAUAUAUGUAUAUAUGUAUGAUCCAUAUAGUAUAUCUUAUUUAUUUAUAGUCUGUAUAGCUCUAAGUUCUCCUGACAUGCAUGCGCUUUUGGCUGGGUCAAGUUUACUUUUAACGACAAUAAAAACAUAAUUUGUUUUUGAGGUUAA